CACGUGGGUAAUCUACCGAAGAGUUCGGAAUAACCGGUCGAAAGGCUGGCUAAUACUGGAUAGUUCAAGCGCAUUAUAAUGGUGCGAUUGGGAAAGGGAGCGGGCAACCGCCUUCGCUUUUUGAUGAGCCCGCGUCUGAUUAGCUAGUUGGUGAGGUAAUGGCUCACCAAGGCAGAGAUCAGUAGCUGGUCUGAGAGGAUGAUCAGCCACACUGGAACUGAAACACGGUCCAGACUCCUACGGGAGGCAGCAGUGGGGAAUCUUGCGCAAUGGACGAAAGUCUGACGCAGCCACGCCGCGUGAGUGAAGAAGGCCUUCGGGUUGUAAAGCUCUGUCGGAGGGGACAAAAACUCCAUAGGUGAAUAGCCUGUGGACUUGAUGGUACCCUUAAAGGAAGCACCGGCUAACUUCGUGCCAGCAGCCGCGGUAAUACGAAGGGUGCAAGCGUUGCUCGGAAUUAUUGGGCGUAAAGGGUAGGUAGGUGGUGAUGUAUGUCUGAAGUGAAAUCCCUGAGCUUAACUCAGGACGUGCUUUGGAAACGGCAUCACUAGAGUACUGGAGAGGUUCGCAGAAUUCCCGGUGUAGCGGUGAAAUGCGUAGAGAUCGGGAGGAAUACCAGAGGCGAAGGCGGCGAACUGGACAGUAACUGACACUCAACUACGAAAGCGUGGGUAGCAAACAGGAUUAGAUACCCUGGUAGUCCACGCUGUAAACGAUGGGUACUAGAGAUGGCGGGAGUUGACCCCUGCCGUCUCGGAGCUAACGCAAUAAGUACCCCGCCUGGGAAGUACUGUCGCAAGACUAAAACUCAAAGGAAUUGACGGGAGCCCGCACAAGCGGUGGAUUAUGUGGUUUAAUUCGAAACCACGCGCAGAACCUUACCUGGGUUUGACAUCCUUUGAUAACUGCAGAGAUGCAGCUUUCGUAGCAAUACGACAAAGUGACAGGUGCUGCAUGGCUGUCGUCAGCUCGUGUGGUGGCAUGUCGGGUUAAGUCCCUCAACGAGCGCAACCCCUGUCUUUAGUUGCCAGCAUUAAGUUGGGCACUCUAGAGAGACUGCCGUGGUUAACACGGAGGAAGGCGGGGAUGACGUCAAGUCCUCAUGGCCCUUACACCCAGGGCGACACACGUAAUACAAUGGCUGGUACAGAGGGAAGCGAACUCGCGAGAGGGAGCAAAUCUCAAAAAGCCAGCCUCAGUUCGGAUUGGAGUCUGCAACUCGACUCCAUGAAGGCGGAAUCGCUAGUAAUCGCGGAUCAGCACGCCGCGGUGAAUACGUUCCCGGGCUUUGUACACACCGCCCGUCACACCAUGGGAGCUGACUCAACCAGAAAACAGUCAGGGUAACCGUAAGGGGCCCUCUGUUGAAGGUGGGGUUGGUGACUGGGGUGAAGUCGAAACAAGGUA
rnacentral:rRNA from 1 species